GGGGAUGUAUUGCUUCGACGUUCAGCGCUCAUUAACAUCUGCAGAUUAUCUUUGAUCACAGAUAUAAACAAAGAUCAAAAAAACAACUGUCAAUAAAAUGAACAGUAUAGUUGCAUCUGUAAGAAGUUUCAUCAACGAUUCUUUUUCAUUUGGAACUCCAGCUUACGCAAACGUAAAUUUUGCAUAAGUAGGCAUUUAACACACCAUUCUCAGUGGCGGUGAGUGUUAGGUGAAAACCCAGUCACUGUGUCAGCGAGCUUGUUUCUACCAGAACUCGUGAAAGACUUUCGGUGGAAAGUGACGAGGAAGUGUUUGGGUUUUAUCAGCCUCGUCAUCACUUAAAGAUACCCUAUGUCUGUAGACGAUGUUUUUGUUCCUGGGCGGACAGGGGUUCAUAACCCCUCAUCUCCACAA
rnacentral:tmRNA from 1 species